AGGAGGAGGGAGUGGGCCGUUCUCUCACACAAAUACGGCAUUGAAAGGGCUGUGGAAGUACCCAGUCGUGCCUCCGCGGAAAUGAACCCCACUAGAAUCUGUGAGGAUGCAGGUUCGAUCCCUGGUCUUUCUCAGUAGGUUAAGGAUGUCCCCCCCUUUGUCCUGAGCUCUGGCGUAGGUCGCAGGAGUGGCUCAGCUCCGGUAUCGCGGAGGUAGCCGUAGCUCGGCUUCGGCCCCUAGCCUGGGAACCUCCAUAUGCCACGGGGCCGGCCCUAAAAAGAAAAAAAAAAAAAGAAGAAGAAGAAGAAUUGAAAAGGUCUUUACAGUGCUGAUUGGUUUAAGUCCUUGGGCGGACGAAGCCACACAUCAGACGAACGAUAGGUGUGAGGACACGGCAAGCAGGUGGUUGUCUGUGUGUCGAGAAGAGAGGCCGCAGAAGAACCCACCCUGCCAGCACCUUAAUCUUGGACAUCCAGCCUCCAGAACGUUGCAGCCAGUGAGAAGUAACCUGCCAACGUCUGGGGAUGGCUUACCUUCCCAAGAACAAAGAUGAGGCCUUGGUGAAGAAGGGCUUGGCCUUGACGCCUCCUUUCUGCCAGGAAGAACGACGUGAGGUCUAGAGAAUCACCAGCCAUUUGGGGACCAGGAAGCAAUCACAUGUGAUCCAAAGUCAACAUGGGAAGGAAGAUGGAACUGAAAGAUGAACGGACCUUAGACCCUGAGCACAUCAAGGAGCUCCCGAGCCAGGGCCCCAAACUGCCACCCUCUAGAUAAAGUGUAGUAGGAGAA